rnacentral:lncRNA from 1 species
CAGUUUCAAAGAACUUGCGCAGCGGGAGAAGACCCAAACAUGUGCGUGUGUUUUCGCUUGUGCGUCAGUGUUUCAGAGUUUAUGUGUUUGUACAGUUUGCUCUUAGAAAACAUGCGCAAGGAUCCAUGACCAUGAAUGUCGGGCCUUUGUGGUAAAUGUAGUUCUGCUAUUUAUGCAAUAUGAGUAAAGAAAAUGUAAUUGGCCUGGAAAGGCUCGCCCACAGAAAGACGCAAGUGGCUCGAAGACCCGCAAGUUGUUUUCCUCAUACUCCCUCGGUUGUGUGUCCCACCCCCUAUUUGGGAAACGAAGUAAUAAGGGAGUCCAUUGCUUCGUAACUAUAGAUCAACAUUAAACUUAGAAAAAGAGCUUUCAUGUUUACUUCUUCCAGGAUGUCCAUAAUGCAAA